rnacentral:rRNA from 1 species
UACAGAGGGUGCGAGCGUUAAUCGGAAUUACUGGGCGUAAAGCGCACGUAGGCGGCUUGGUAUGUCGGGUGUGAAAUCCCCGGGCUCAACCUGGGAACUGCAUCCGAAACUGCCUUGCUAGAGUAUGGGAGAGGGAAGUGGAAUUUCCGGUGUAGCAGUGAAAUGCGUAGAUAUCGGAAGGAACAUCAGUGGCGAAGGCGACUUCCUGGACCAAUACUGACGCUCAGGUGCGAAAGCGUGGGGAGCAAACAGG